rnacentral:rRNA from 1 species
AUUGAACGCUGGCGGCAGGCCUAACACAUGCAAGUCGAGCGGCAGCGGAAAGUAGCUUGCUACUUUGCCGGCGAGCGGCGGACGGGUGAGUAAUGUCUGGGAAACUGCCCGAUGGAGGGGGAUAACUACUGGAAACGGUAGCUAAUACCGCAUAACGUCGCAAGACCAAAGAGGGGGACCUUCGGGCCUCUUGCCAUCGGAUGUGCCCAGAUGGGAUUAGCUAGUAGGUGGGGUAACGGCUCACCUAGGCGACGAUCCCUAGCUGGUCUGAGAGGAUGACGAGCCACACUGGAACUGAGACACGGUCCAGACUCCUACGGGAGGGAGCAGUGGGGAAUAUUGCACAAUGGGCGCAAGCCUGAUGCAGCCAUGCCGCGUGUAUGAAGAAGGCCUUCGGGUUGUAAAGUACUUUCAGCGGGGAGGAAGGUGUUGAGGUUAAUAACCUCAGCAAUUGACGUUACCCGCAGAAGAAGCACCGGCUAACUCCGUGCCAGCCGCCGCGGUAACAC